UCGAGCAGGAUUUGUCGGUUGAGCUGCUUGGUUUCAGGGGCUGGAAUGUUUCCAGAACCAAUCAUGAGACUCACCAUCUGAUGAGUUAAGUAUCUUACAGUGAAAACAUCCCAGCAAGAAGGCGAGGCGUCAUGAAGAGGCUGGUGGGCGCUGUGCUGGGGCUUCUGUGUGCCCAGGUUUGCUGUGUGACAGGGCAGGAUGUGGAGCAGAGUCCUCCAGUCCUGAGUCUCCAGGAGGGAGCCACCUCUACGCUGUGGUGCAAGUUUUCCACCACUGUGUCCAAUGUGCAGUGGUAUCGUCAGAACCCCGGGGGCCGCCUCAUCCACCUGUUUUACGUUGCUUCAGGGACAAAGCACGAUGGAAGAUUCAGUGCCACAGCAGUCAUUCAAGAACGCCGCAGCUCCUUGAACAUUUCCUCUUCCCAGACCACAGACUCAGCCACGUACUUCUGUGCUGUGAGCACAGUGCUCCCCGGGCACCUGCAGCCUGAACACAAACCCUCAGCGGGCUCAGCCCCCUCCAGCCACAGUCUCACCAUGAGGCCGCCACCUGCAUCUGCAAGGCUUAUGAGUCCCCACCUACAUCAGUGUAGUUUCAAUCACAGACACCUUUUCACCCUACAGAUUUGGGACUUUGGUCUUUAUCUUCCUUCUCAAUCUGUAUCUCCUUCUGCACUAAAAACGGCUAACUUGGGACUAGCAGAGUAG